rnacentral:rRNA from 1 species
CCCCCAGCUUGCUGGGGUGAUUAGUGGCGAACGGGUGAGUAACACGUGAGUAACCUGCCCCUGACUCUGGGAUAAGCCCGGGAAACUGGGUCUAAUACUGGAUAUGCACCGUGGACCGCAUGGUCCUUGGUGGAAAGAUUUUUUGGUCAGGGAUGGACUCGCGGCCUAUCAGCUUGUUGGUGAGGUAAUGGCUCACCAAGGCGACGACGGGUAGCCGGCCUGAGAGGGUGACCGGCCACACUGGGACUGAGACACGGCCCAGACUCCUACGGGAGGCAGCAGUGGGGAAUAUUGCACAAUGGGCGAAAGCCUGAUGCAGCGACGCCGCGUGAGGGAUGACGGCCUUCGGGUUGUAAACCUCUUUCAGUAGGGAAGAAGCGAAAGUGACGGUACCUGCAGAAGAAGCGCCGGCUAACUACGUGCCAGCAGCCGCGGUAAUACGUAGGGCGCAAGCGUUAUCCGGAAUUAUUGGGCGUAAAGAGCUCGUAGGCGGCUUGUCGCGUCUGCCGUGAAAGUCCGAGGCUCAACCUCGGAUCUGCGGUGGGUACGGGCGGACUAGAGUGAUGUAGGGGAGACUGGAAUUCCUGGUGUAGCGGUGAAAUGCGCAGAUAUCAGGAGGAACGCCGAUGGCGGAGGCAGGUCUCUGGGCAUUAACUGACGCUGAGGAGCGAAAGCAUGGGGAGCGAACAGGAUUAGAUACCCUGGUAGUCCAUGCCGUAAACGUUGGGCACUAGGUGUGGGGGACAUUCCACGUUUUCCGCGCCGUAGCUAACGCAUUAAGUGCCCCGCCUGGGGAGUACCGGCCGCAAGGCUAAAACUCAAAGGAAUUGACGGGGGCCCGCACAAGCGGCGG